rnacentral:lncRNA from 1 species
AUGUGCCCUCCCUGGGAGCACCCAAGGCCAGGCUGGAUGGGACUGUGAGCAACCUGGACUAGAAUGAGGUGUUCCUGUCUAUAGCAGGGGGUUGGAACCAGGUGAUCUUAAAGGUCCCCUCCAACCCAAACCAUUUUAUGACUUCCACACUGUCAUGCAGACAGCAGGUUUUGUACACCAGCAGGUUGCCCCUUUGUGUGCCCAGCAGCAGCUGCUCUUGCCUCAGCACCCCUGAUCUGCACACUCAGGCACAGACUUGGGAUCUGCUCUUUACCUCCUUGUGCAGGAGUGUUUCUCCAUUGGUCUUUGGUUGUGCCAGUGGUUGCAGGGAGGACACCCAGCUGUGCAACACUUCUCCACAUCCCCACGUCUCCAGCAGGAUUCUGUUCUUCAUGGGCUCAGCCCAGAAGAAAAUCUGCAUCAUUUCCCUGGGAGCUGCCAUGAGGAGGGGUUAGCUGCAGGAACUCAUAGUGAAGAGAAGGCUCUGCACCAGCUGGGGCCCCUUGUGCUGGCAAUGGGAAGGGAGGAAAGGAAGAGAAUGAGAGCUCUCCAGAGCAGGUCAUCAUCAUCACAGGAUAUGAGCUUCUGUCCCAGCAUGGGAAGUGAACUCGUGACCCACCUUACAAAUAAAAAUGCUUCCCAAAAGAAUCUGGACAAGAUCGCAGAGCAUGACUUAAUGCAAGAAAGAGAGCAGGCACUGAAAGGUCAGCACGACGACAGACCAUUUUUCACUCUGCUUACAGUUCUGCAGCUGUUUGCUGUCGCAGGAAGGCAGCGGGGAGAGGACAAAUCCCAGCGGCAAUACAUCAAGAGACCAUGUCACUGUGUUGUGUGAAACCGGUUGCUUUUGGGAGCUCCAGCCUGGCACCCAGCGAUGCUUGUGGGAAUUCUUUCUCUGCUGUUGGUCCACAUCCAGGGACAUGGAUGGGGUUCUGCUCUCCCAGACUGCAAGUACUGCAGCUUGCAGUUUUGGACCGGUGUGAAUGAUGAAAGCAAACAAAAAUCUCUUCUUGUUCCUUUUCCAUAUUGUACCAUGAAAGAUACCAGGCAGAGAGAGCUGGCUGGUAGUGGAACCAGUCAGAGAGCUGACAUGAGAAGAGCCCCAGGUUUCCCCAUGACCAACCAGCUUUCUUAUUUCAGGUGAGGUUGAAGUCAUCCUCUGCUCCUUCAUAACCAGCAAUAGGAUGAGGAAAUGGCCUCGGAACUGUGCCAGGGAAGGUUCAGGUUGAACAUUAAGAACAAUUUAUUCUCUGACAGAGUGGUCAGGUGCUGGAAUGGGCAGCCCAGGGAGGUGGUGGAAUCACUGUCCCUGGGGGGGGUUCAAGAAAUGUUUAGAUGUUGUACUGAGGGAGGUGGUUUAGUGGGAAAUACUGGUGAUAGGUGGGCAGCUGGACUGGGUGGUCUCAUGUUCUUUUCCAUCCUUGGUGAUUCUGUGAUUCUCUUGCAAGGAUGUGAAUUUCUCAGAAUGCCAUCUUAGUAAAUGCUGCAGCUUUUAUCAUUGUAAUUGAAAAGCAGAAAACAUUAACCCUUGACAAUCUCCAGUUAUCGAGCAAAGAGGACACAAAAUCUUCUAAAUUCCUCUGAUUCCUCUUUUGAAUGAUUUUGGCUCUUGGAAUGAAGAGAGAAUGGAAAAUACCCUAAGGGUAACACAGCCAGUUGGUGGCUGGAGAUGUAAUCCUUCUGAAACGGUCUUAUUAAGUAAUUACAUUUAAAUGUUGGGGGCAAUGUGCCUCUCUCUCUUUUUUAUUUCAGAGCAUUCUCUAAGUCUGGAUCUAGCUAGAUUGAGGUGUCUGCUUAGAAAAGCACAUUCCUGCAUUCUGCCAUAUGUGUUGCUG